rnacentral:rRNA from 1 species
GGUUCGAUUAAGGGCUCAGAUUGAACGCUGGCGGGAUGCUUACACAUGCAAGUCGAACGGCAGCACGGACUUCGGUCUGGUGGCGAGUGGCGAACGGGUAGAGCAAUGUAUCGGAACGUGCCUAGUAGCGGGGGAUAACUACGCGAAAGCGUAGCUAAUACCGCAUACGCCCUUCGGGGGAAAGCGGGGGACCUUCGGGCCUCGCACCAUUAGAGCGGCCGAUAUCGGAUUAGCUAGUUGGUGGGGUAACGGCUCACCAAGGCGACGAUCCGUAGCUGGUUUGAGAGGACGACCAGCCACACUGACUGAGACACGGCCCAGACUCCUACGGGAAGCAGCGGUGGGGAAUUUUGACAAUGGGGGAAACCCCGAUCCAGCCAUCCUGUGUGCGAUGAAGGCCUUCGGGUUGUAAAGCACUUUUGGCAGGAAAGAAACGGCACGGGAUAAUACCCCGUGCAACUGACGGUACCCGCAAGAAUAAGCACCGGCUAACUACGUGCCAGCAGCCGCGGUAAUACGUAGGGUGCAAGUGCAGCACUGGAAUUACUGGGCAUGUGCGCAGGCGGUUCGGAAAGAAAGAUGUGAAAUCCCAGAGCUUAACUUUGGAACUGCAUUUUUAACUACCGAGCUAGAGUGUGUCAGAGGGAGAGAAUUCUAUGUAGCAGUGAAAUGCGUAGAUAUGCGAGGAACACCGAUGGCGAAGCGCAGCCUCCUGGGAUAACACUGACGCUCAUGCACGAAAGCGGGGAGCAAACAGGAUUAGAUACCCUGGUAGUCCACGCCCUAAACGAUGUCAACUAGCUGUUGGGGCCUUCGGGCUCCUGUAGCGCAGCUAACGCGUGAAGUUGACCGCCUGGGGAGUACGGUCGCAAGAUUAAACCCAAAGGAAUUUGACGAACCCGUGCGAGAUGAUGUGAUUAACGAUGCGUCGCGAAACCCACUCAAUCUUUACGGUCCGGUCCCGUAGACUUAGAGCUCGCAGAAUAUCGUGACAGUGGCUGCACGUCAAUACGUGUCGAUAACAGUUAGUCCGCGAUCGGCGGCAACCACCGUUGUUCGCUGCGUGUGGCACUGAAAUUAGACUGCCGGUGACAAACCGAGAAGGUGGAUGGCGUCAAGUCUCGCCGCCCGGCAUGGCCUCACAACGUCGCACAAAUGGAUCCGGACAGAGGUCCACAACCGCGAGAAUCAAACCCGAAAACCGACCGUAGUUCCGGACACUGCGAACUCACCCUGCGUAGUCAAACGCAAGGACCUGCGACUUAGCAGCAUGUCGCGGUGAAUACGUUCCCGGGUCUUGUACACACCGCCCGUCACACCAUGGGAGUGGGUUUUACCAGAAGUAGUUAGCCUAACCGUAAGGAGGGCGAUUAACACUGUAGAUUCAUGACUGGGGUGAAGUCGUAACAAGGUAA